rnacentral:rRNA from 1 species
GUGAGGAAUUUUCCGCAAUGGGCGAAAGCCUGACGGAGCAAUGCCGCGUGAAGGAUGAAUGCCUAUGGGUUGUAAACUUCUUUUCUCAGAAAAGAAUUAUGACGGUAUCUGAGGAAUAAGCAUCGGCUAACUCUGUGCCAUCAGCCGCGGUAAGACAGAGGAUGCAAGCGUUAUACGGAAUGAUUGGGCGUAAAGCGUCUGUAGGUUGUUUAAAAAGUAUUCUGUCAAAGAUUAGGGCUUAACCUGAGAUAGGCAGAAUAAACUUUUAAGCUAGAGUUUGGUAGAGGCAGAGGGAAUUCCCGGUGGAGCGGUGAAAUGCGUAGAUAUCGGGAGGAACACCAAAGGCGAAGGCACUCUGCUGGGCCAAUACUAACACUGAGAGACGAAAGCGAGGGGAGCAAAUGGGAUUAGAUACCCGAGUAGUCC